rnacentral:rRNA from 1 species
UACGUAGGGUGCAAGCGUUGUCCGGAAUUAUUGGGCGUAAAGAGCUCGUAGGCGGUCUGUCGCGUCGGCUGUGAAAACCCGAGGCUCAACCUCGGGCCUGCAGUCGAUACGGGCAAACUGGAGUGUUGCAGGGGAGACUGGAAUUCCUGGUGUAGCGGUGAAAUGCGCAGAUAUCAGGAGGAACACCGGUGGCGAAGGCGGGUCUCUGGGCCGAUACUGACGCUGAGGAGCGAAAGCAUGGGGAGCGAACAGG